UACGGAGGGUCCAAGCGUUAUCCGGAAUCAUUGGGUUUAAAGGGUCCGUAGGCGGUUUUGUAAGUCAGUGGUGAAAGCCCAUCGCUCAACGGUGGAACGGCCAUUGAUACUGCAAGACUUGAAUUAUUGGGAAGCAACUAGAAUAUGUAGUGUAGCGGUGAAAUGCUUAGAGAUUACAUGGAAUACCAAUUGCGAAGGCAGGUUACUACCAAUAUAUUGACGCUGAUGGACGAAAGCGUGGGGAGCGAACAGG
rnacentral:rRNA from 1 species